rnacentral:lncRNA from 1 species
AUCGUCCACUUGAAGCCUUGAUCGGAUCUUCCUUUGCGGAAGUGCUAGCUUGCAUCAAAGGCUCUGGAUGGCUGAUCCAAGCUCCUUUCUUCAGAUCUCUUGGACUCCUAUGGAUCAAAAAAUAAAGCUUUAUGAGAAGGUAGUGGUGUGGAAGAUUGGAUAAAACUCACUCUUGUAUUUUCUUCUCACAAAACUUAGAGUUGAAACCCUAGAACCCAUAGUUCACGCCCG